AUUGAACGCUGGCGGCAGGCUUAACACAUGCAAGUCGAGCGAGCGGCGGACGGGUGAGUAAUGUCUGGGACACUGCCUGAUGGAGGGGGAUAACUACUGGGAACGGUAGCUAAUACCGCAUAACAUAGGAUGGGCCCAGAUGGGAGUAGCUAGUAGGUGGGGUAAGGGCACACCUAGGCGACGAACCCUAGCUGGUCUGAGAGGAUGACCAGUCACACUGGAACGGAGACACGGGCCAGACUCCUACGGGAGGCAGCAGUGGGGAAUAUUGCACAAUGGGCGAAAGCCUGAUGCAGCCAUGCCGCGUGUGUGAAGAAGGCCUUCGGGUUGUAAAGCACUUUCAGCGAGGAGGCGUUACUCGCAGAAGAAGCACCGGCUAACUCCGUGCCAGCAGCCGCGGUAAUUC
rnacentral:rRNA from 1 species